rnacentral:rRNA from 1 species
AGUGAACGCUGGCGGUAGGCCUAACACAUGCAAGUCGAACGGCAGCACAGUAAGAGCUUGCUCUUACGGGUGGCGAGUGGCGGACGGGUGAGGAAUACAUCGGAAUCUACUUUUUCGUGGGGGUUAACGUAGGGAAACUUACGCUAAUACCGCAUACGACCUACGGGUGAAAGCAGGGGGUAUUCGGACCUUGCGCGAUUGAAUGAGCCGCUGUCGGAUUAGCUAGUUGGCGGGGUAAAGGCCAACCAAGGCGACGAUCCGUAGCUGGUCUGAGAGGAUGGUCAGCGACAUUAGAACUGGGACACGGUCCAUACGCCUGCGGUAGGCAGCAGUGUGGAAUAGGGGACAAUGGGCGCAAGCCUGAUCCAGCCAUACCGCGUGUGUGAAGAAGGCCUUCGGGGUGUAAAGCCCGUUUGCUGGGAAAGAAAAGCAGCAGGUUAAGACCCCGCUGUUCUGACGGUACCCAAAGAAGAAGCACCGGCUAACUUCGUG